AAGUGAGGACGACCUCACCGCUCCACGAUCCAUUCAGGGACGACCCUG
rnacentral:ncRNA from 1 species